UAGACCGCCUGGGGAGUACGGCCGCAAGGUUAAAACUCAAAUGAAUUGACGGGGGCCCGCACAAGCGGUGGAGCAUGUGGUUUAAUUCGAUGCAACGCGAAGAACCUUACCUGGUCUUGACAUCCACGGAAGUUUUCAGAGAUGAGAAUGUGCCUUCGGGAACCGUGAGACAGGUGCUGCAUGGCUGUCGUCAGCUCGUGUUGUGAAAUGUUGGGUUAAGUCCCGCAACGAGCGCAACCCUUAUCCUUUG
rnacentral:rRNA from 1 species